AAAAUGCAGGCUGUGCAGAUGUUUUGCUGUUGUGGUUGCUUUUAACUGAGCACUGUUGCUCCACUGGUGCCACAGAGAGCCUUUGUCUGUCACAUGCUGCUCCGUGGUGCCUGCCUUGUACCUCGUCCUGGCAGUCGCUAGGGGCCCCUGCUCUGCUCGAUGCCUCGGAUCAAGCUGUGUGGUGUCUGUGAGCGCAGUUGGGCAGCAGUCGUCGCCACUGUGCGUCGCUGAAGAUGUUGCAGCAGCAGCCUCUGACGGGCAAUGGGCCAUCCAACGGCCGGGGACUCGGCGUGAGCGGCCACCCCGGGAUGCAUGCGCUCAACUCGGUUCAUCAAGCUUCCCAGCACCGGUCCGACGGAGGGGAGCCGGGCCUCGAGGGCACAGAGAACGGACACGAAAGCCGCAGAGAUAUUGGUGACAUACUGCAGCAAAUAAUGACCAUCACCGACCAAAGUUUGGACGAGGCACAAGCAAAGAAACAUGCACUUAACUGUCACCGGAUGAAACCUGCGUUGUUCAGCGUUUUGUGCGAGAUCAAGGAAAAAACUGGCCUGUCAAUGAGGAACGCGCAGGAGGAGGAGCCUCAGGACCCUCAGCUGGUGCGACUGGACAACAUGCUGCUGGCGGAGGGCGUAGCCGGGCCGGAGAAGGGCGGCGGGGCUGCUGCUGCUGUGUCUGCUGCCACCAGCUCGGGAGGGAUGUCGCCCGACAGCUCACUCGAGCACUCCGACUACAAAAGCAAGUUGAGCCAGAUUCGCAGUAUCUACCACACUGAGCUGGAGAAGUAUGAGCAGGCGUGCACCGAGUUCACCACCCACGUCAUGAACCUGCUGAGGGAGCAGUCGCGCACACGACCCGUCACUCCGAGGGAGAUCGAGCGCAUGGUGGCCAUCAUCCACCGCAAGUUCAGCUCCAUCCAGACCCAGCUGAAGCAGAGCACCUGUGAGGCCGUCAUGAUCCUGAGGUCCCGCUUCCUGGACGCCAGGCGCAAGAGACGCAACUUCAGCAAACAGGCCACGGAGGUCCUGAACGAGUAUUUCUACUCCCACCUGUCCAACCCGUAUCCCAGUGAAGAAGCCAAAGAGGAACUUGCCAAAAACUGUGGAAUCACCGUCUCUCAGGUCUCCAACUGGUUUGGCAACAAGAGAAUCCGCUACAAGAAAAACAUUGGCAAGUUCCAGGAGGAGGCCAACCUCUACGCCAUGAAGACAGCCCUGGGGGCCAGACAGGGCGAUGAUUCUCCUCACACUCCCAACUCCACAGGGUCCGGGUCCUUCUCCCUGUCCGGCUCAGCUGACCUGUUCCUCGGGGUUCCUCCUGUCAACGGCGAGCAGUCUGCCUACCAGAUGGGAGUGCAGGUACUUCAUAUGGAGUCGUUACACACAUGAUGAGUAAAUGAUGAGCGUGAUUAUGUUUUACUGUCUGUCGACUAAAAUCGAAACCAACAGUGGGCUGAACCAGCAGCCGUCUGUGUCGUCAGAGCUCCUCCUGUAUGUUUGACAAUAGAAACAUUACACAACAACUUAUUUCAUGCUCCCAGAACUUUACUUUCCUUUAAUAACAAACCAAAUGGACAAAUAUUUUACAACUCAAGCAAACUGAAGUGUUCAGAUUUCCUGUCACUUUAUUUUCCAUUCAUUUCAGACAGUCAUGAAAAUCUACUUUUAAGCCUGAUUAACGCUUUAUUAAAGUCACCACAGGGUGAUGCCGUUAUCGGAGACUUUAUGUGGAUCCACAUAGAAACCUACAGCCGGCUGCUUCCCAGCCUGUUAGUCCAGCCUUCAGCACCAGCUUCAUACAGCACAUACCGGACCUGGAUGUCCGCGGCUCCUUUCUCACAGAGAGGGCGCCGUCAUGACGCUAAAUGUUGGUGGUGUUUUACUCUCGGUGUGUGUGGGUGAGCGAGGGUGCACGUGACGUAAACGCUGUAAGUCCGUGAGACGUCCACAUGCAGCCCAAAACUCACUGUGGAUACAUGGAUAGAUGCUGAUUUAAUGCACAGGACGGCUCAAGAAAGCCCCGUCAGAGCUGCUUUAGCCGCACAAGUGCAUGUAGCCGUCCAUGUGUAGCGUGGUGUCAGAAUGUCACUACAGCUGUGUGUCUACCUCCACUGCUGCCGUGAUGGUGCAACAACAACCUUCUUUACCUUAAACACACACCAGUGAGGCAAAAUAAAGGCCUUCAUGCAGCUUCAGCAGGCCGUAUAUGAAAGGGGAUGGUGUUUCCAUGAAGACCCUGAAGCACUGUGUUUAAAUGCAUAGCCUCAAAACGACACACGGUUUGGAUCAAACAGAACCAGACAGCGUGUAUUGUGAUGGUUUACCUAUUUUAAUAUUAGUCUCCGGUCUUUUGAAGCCGAUUCUGGCAGUAGAGAGGACUGUACAUGUAAUAUUACUGUUUGAGUCCAUGGUCAAGUUCUGGAAGAACCAGACUGCAAACGGUCACAGAGCAUUUAAGGAAGAAAAGCCUCAGAUUUAUCAAAGCAGCUCAAAGAUAGACGACCGGAUCAAGGUGAGAGGUGUUUCUUUACUUUAACAUGUUGCUGCAAUUUUCACAUCCUGGAAUGGUCUGGGUGAUGUUGGGAAUUCCUGUUGUAGCGAUGCUGGGUGCACAUGGUGGACACACACGCUAACGCUAGCUGGUUUAGCCUAAUACAGUGAACACAGAUGCUAACGUUAGCUGGUUUAGCCUAAUACAGUGAACACAGAUGCUAAUGUUAGCUGGUUCAGGCUAACACAGUGAACACAGACGCUGUCGUUAGCUGGUUCAGGCUAACACAGUGAACAUCAGCAGGCUGCGGUUGCUACCAUGUAGUCCAUCACAACAUAUAGUUUUGUUGGUUGAAACAUUGUGUGUGCAGCAGUUUUUGUUUUUUGCUUGUUUUUUUAAUUCACUGAUUCGAUUGGUUUGUUGUUGGUAUAAAUAUAACAAUGGAAAUGUUUCGCUGCUGUUGUGAGUGAAGGUCUAAGAACCAGAGAUGCUGUGCUGAUAAACCACAGCCAUGAGUCACACGCUGCCCUCUGACACACUUGUCUUUGUUUUCUUCUUUCCCUUUCGGUU